CCUACGGGAGGCAGCAGUGGGGAAUAUUGGACAAUGGGCGAAAGCCUGAUCCAGCAAUGCCGCGUGAGUGAUGAAGGCCUUAGGGUUGUAAAGCUCUUUUACCAGGGAUGAUAAUGACAGUACCUGGAGAAUAAGCUCCGGCUAACUCCGUGCCAGCAGCCGCGGUAAUACGGAGGGAGCUAGCGUUGUUCGGAAUUACUGGGCGUAAAGAGUACGUAGGCGGUUAUUCAAGUCAGAGGUGAAAGCCCGGGGCUCAACCCCGGAACUGCCUUUGAAACUAGAUAGCUAGAAUCUUGGAGAGGUCAGUGGAAUUCCGAGUGUAGAGGUGAAAUUCGUAGAUAUUCGGAAGAACACCAGUGGCGAAGGCGACUGACUGGACAAGUAUUGACGCUGAGGUACGAAAGCGUGGGGAGCAAACAGGAUUAGAUACCCUGGUAGUCCACGCCGUAAACGAUGAUAACUAGUUGUUCGGGCACUUGGUGCCUGAGUGACGCAGCUACGCAUUAAGUUAUCCGUCCGUCGGGGUACGGGUCGGCGAGAUAAACUAACAAUAGAUUAGACGGCGUGAGACGUGCCGAACGGACGACGACGAGGGAGGUAGG
rnacentral:rRNA from 1 species